AUUGAACGCUGGCGGCAGGCUUAACACAUGCAAGUCGAGCGGAAACGAUGGGAGCUUGCUCCCAGGCGUCGAGCGGCGGACGGGUGAGUAACGCGUAGGAAUCUACCCAGUAGAGGGGGAUAGCCCGGGGAAACCCGGAUUAAUACCGCAUACGCCUUAAGGGGGAAAGGCCGGGAUCUUCGGACCGGUCACUAUUGGAUGAGCCUGCGUGAGAUUAGCCUGUUGGUGGGGUAAAGGCCUACCAAGGCGACGAUCUCUAGCUGGUCUGAGAGGAUGAUCAGCCACACCGGAACUGAGACACGGUCCGG
rnacentral:rRNA from 1 species